CCAGGUAGCAUUCCUCUUUGACAAUACCCAACCACAUGUACAAGCCAAUGCAGGCUAGGCAGUCAUUUUAAGAGAAGCGUGAACGCUAAACAAGGGCAGUAAAAAUGUUCCCUAGAGAACCAAUGCCCACAUCACGUUCCGUAUCCAAGACAACACGCCGAACUCAACGUGCCACAACAUCAACGCAAGCACUGAAGAUGUGGUGCAAAGAGACAGCUUCAAGGUUAGUCCAAUGCCAAUUUAAUGGCACAAGACGAAAGCAACUUUGAACAACCAACAACAUACCAUAAGACAGGUAGGCAACACAGAAACCCGCAUUCCGAUUAGACAAUAGAUGCCUAAACA
rnacentral:misc_RNA from 1 species